AAUGAACGCUGGCGGCAGGCCUAACACAUGCAAGUCGAACGAGUGGCGGACGGGUGAGCAAUGUCUGGGAAACUGCUCGCUGGAGGGGGAUAAUUACUGGAAACGGUAGCUAAUACUGCACACCAGCGGAUGUGGCAAGAUGGGAUUAGCUAGCAGGUGGGGUAACGGCUCACCUAGGCGACGAUCCCUAGCUAGUCUGAGAGGAUGACCAGCCACACUGGACCGGAGACACGGUCCAGACUCAUACGGUAGGCAGCAGUGGGGAAUAUUGCACAAUGGGGGCAAUGCUGAUGCAGCCAUGCCGCGUGUCUGAAGAAGGCCUUCGGGUUGUAAAGUACUUUCAGCGUGGAAGCGGUACUCGAAGAAGAAGCACCGGCUAACUCCGUGCCAGCAGCCGCGGUAAUAC
rnacentral:rRNA from 1 species